rnacentral:rRNA from 1 species
UACGAAGGGGGCUAGCGUCGCUCGGAAUCACUGGGCGUAAAGCGCACGUAGGCGGAUUGCUAAGUCAGGGGUGAAAUCCUGGAGCUCAACUCCAGAACUGCCUUUGAUACUGGUGAUCUUGAGUCCGGAAGAGGAGAGUGGAAUUUCCGGUGUAGCGGUGAAAUGCGUAGAUAUCGGAAGGAACAUCAGUGGCGAAAGCGACUUCCUGGACCAAUACUGACGCUCAUGUGCGAAAGCGUGGGGAGCAAACAGG